GUGGUGUUUGGUUUGAUACGGGUGGUCGGAUCCCUGCUUGAGCAGGCACGGCCUCGCGUACAUUCCUUUUCAAUUGUGCGACAAGACUUGUAUCGUCUUGAUCGUAUAUGUGGGUUUCCUGUGUUGCAUACCUGAUCAAAGGAAUCGUCUAGAUCAAAAAAGUCCCUUUUUCGUCAAGCGUUGCCCUUGUGACGUCGGACGAACCAAGUAGCACCUUCUUUGAUCCAUCCCGUUGAUGUGCAUUCGUCAAUGGUUUGGCCCAUUGAGGAUUGCUUGGUCUCUCGGAUGUGGAAGCAUAAGUUGGCAUGGGGUCGUAUGAUCCUUUUAUUGCCCUCGUUGAGCGUUCUCGCUUCUCUAAAACGACUGCCUUUCACGUAUGGCACGUCCCAGCGUGUCUGGCUAACGUCGAAGAGGAAUGC
rnacentral:misc_RNA from 1 species